AACAGGAUUAGAUACCCUGGUAGUCCAUGCCGUAAACGUUGGGCACUAGGUGUGGGGGACAUUCCACGUUUUCCGCGCCGUAGCUAACGCAUUAAGUGCCCCGCCUGGGGAGUACGGCCGCAAGGCUAAAACUCAAAGGAAUUGACGGGGGCCCGCACAAGCGGCGGAGCAUGCGGAUUAAUUCGAUGCAACGCGAAGAACCUUACCAAGGCUUGACAUUCACCGGAUCGCCCCAGAGAUGGGGUUUCCCUUCGGGGCUGGUGGACAGGUGGUGCAUGGUUGUCGUCAGCUCGUGUCGUGAGAUGUUGGGUUAAGUCCCGCAACGAGCGCAACCCUCGUUCUAUGUUGCCAGCACGUGAUGGUGGGGACUCAUAGGAGACUGCCGGGGUCAACUCGGAGGAAGGUGGGGAUGACGUCAAAUCAUCAUGCCCCUUAUGUCUUGGGCUUCACGCAUGCUACAAUGGCCGGUACAAUGGGUUGCGAUACUGUGAGGUGGAGCUAAUCCCAAAAAGCCGGUCUCAGUUCGGAUUGAGGUCUGCAACUCGACCUCAUGAAGUCGGAGUCGCUAGUAAUCGCAGAUCAGCCACGCUGCGGUGAAUACGUUCCCGGGCCUUGUACACACCGCCCGUCAAGUCACGAAAGUUGGUAACACCCGAAGCCGGUGGCCUAACCCCUUGGUGGGAGGGAGCCGUCGAAGGUGGGACUGGCGAUUGGGACUAAGUCGUAACAAGGUAACC
rnacentral:rRNA from 1 species